UACGUAGGUGGCAAGCGUUGUCCGGAUUUAUUGGGUUUAAAGGGUGCGUAGGCGGCUUAAUAAGUCAGUGGUGAAAGCCGAUCGCUUAACGAUCGAACUGCCAUUGAUACUGCUAGGCUUGAGUAUAGUUGAGGUAGGCGGAAUUGACAGUGUAGCGGUGAAAUGCAUAGAUAUUGUCAAGAACACCAAUUGCGAAGGCAGCUUACUAAAGUAUAACUGACGCUGAGGCACGAAAGUGCGGGGAUCAAACAGGAUUAGAUACCCUGGUAGUCCGCACCGUAAACGAUGAUCACUCGCUGUGUGCGAUAAACAGUACGCGGCCAAGCGAAAGCGAUAAGUGAUCCACCUGGGGAGUACGCCCGCAAGGGUGAA
rnacentral:rRNA from 1 species